ACUCCUACGGGAGGCAGCAGUGAGGAAUUUUCCGCAAUGGGCGCAAGCCUGACGGAGCAACGCCGCGUGAGGGAUGAAGGCCUGGGCUGUAAACCUCUUUUAUCAAGGAAGAAGAUCUGACGGUACUUGAUGAAUAAGCCACGGCUAAUUCCGUGCCAGCAGCCGCGGUAAU
rnacentral:rRNA from 1 species